rnacentral:rRNA from 1 species
UGGGGGAAUAUUGGGCAAUGGGCGCAAGCCUGACCCAGCAACGCCGCGUGAAGGAAGAAGGCUUUUCGGGUUGUAAACUUCUUUUGUCAGGGACGAGAAGAAGACGGUACCUGACGAAUAAGCCACGGCUAACUACGUGCCAGCAGCCGCGGUAAUACGUAGGUGGCAAGCGUUGUCCGGAUUUACUGGGUGUAAAGGGCGUGUAGCCGGGUCGGCAAGUCAGAUGUGAAAUCCACGGGCUUAACUCGUGAACUGCAUUUGAAACUGUUGAUCUUGAGUAUCGGAGAGGCAAUCGGAAUUC